rnacentral:lncRNA from 1 species
UUGGGGGAUAAAGUAUUUUCUGGAGCAGCCCUUAAUGUUUUAAUAUAAAAAAAUAUCUAUUUCAAGUUGAUAAACACAAAAAAAUCCUGUGAUAUAGUCUAUAUUACUCCAAUCCAGGUUUUACCCUUGUUCUAUGUGUAUGUUACAUACAAACGUAUAAAAAAGAAAAGAUGUGGUGUUAAGUUUGCCAAUGAGACAAUUCUCCACCAGAGACCUAAUGAUGUAGAUGUUAAUGAUAAACCACACAUUGAAAUGCCUACCUGCUCAUUCUGGAUAUGACAUGAAAUUUCAUUAUUGAAACGAAAACAAAUGUAGAGUUUAGUAUGACGUCCAUCAUCACUGAACUAGUACAUAUUUUUGUUUAGGGACCAGC